rnacentral:rRNA from 1 species
UACGUAGGGUGCGAGCGUUGUCCGGAAUUACUGGGCGUAAAGAGCUCGUAGGUGGUUUGUCGCGUUGUCCGUGAAAUUCCCUGGCUUAACUGGGGGCGUGCGGGCGAUACGGGCAGACUGGAGUACUGCAGGGGAGACUGGAAUUCCUGGUGUAGCGGUGGAAUGCGCAGAUAUCAGGAGGAACACCUGAGGCGAAGGCGGGCUACUGGGCCGAUACUGACGCUGAUGCGCGAA